rnacentral:rRNA from 1 species
GCUAGUAAUCGCGCAUCAGCCAUGGCGCGGUGAAUACGUUCCCGGGCCUUGUACACACCGCCCGUCAAGCCAUGGGAGCCGGGGGUGCUUGAAGUGCGUCGCCGCAAGGCGCGCCCUAGAGCAAAACCGGUGACUGGGGCUAAGUCGUAACAAGGUAGC